rnacentral:rRNA from 1 species
CCUACGGGAGGCAGCAGUGGGGAAUAUUGCGCAAUGGGCGAAAGCCUGACGCAGCGACGCCGCGGGAGGGAUGAAGGUCUGCGGAUCGUAAACCUCUGUCAGCAGGGAAGAACGGUCACUGUGCUAAUCAGCAGUGAAUUGACGGUACCUGCAAAGGAAGCACCGGCUAACUCCGUGCCAGCAGCCGCGGUAAUACGGAGGGUGCGAGCGUUAAUCGGAAUUACUGGGCGUAAAGCGCGCGUAGGCGGUAUGUCAAGUCAAGGGUGAAAUCCCCGCGCUCAACGUGGGAACUGCCUUUGAAACUGGCAGACUGGAGUGUGUGAGAGGGUAGUGGAAUUCCAGGUGUAGGGGGGAAAUCCGUAGAUAUCUGGAGGAACAUCAGUGGCGAAGGCGACUGUCUGGCACAUAACUGACGCUGAGGAGCGAAAGCGUGGGUAGCAAACAGGAUUAGAUACCCCUGUAGUC